CUUCUCCGCCUGGGCCCCCCGCCCAGCUCGCGUCCCUCUGGUGCGGGGGUCAAGAGCCCAAUGCCGCUGGCGUGCGAGAAGGCGCCGAACCGCCGGAGCUGGCAGGGAGCAGGGGGUGUUCACGGCUCUGCCCAAAGCCCUGGUCGGUCCGCCAGCCUCAGUUUCCCCAUCUGCGCCGGGAGGAGCAGGAAUGAGCUAAAGGUCCCCAUCCUGAGAUUCCAGGAGUGGGCCACAAAGGUAUUGCUAUGAACCAAAACCUACAUUUUGUUUGCAGAAACAAUCAUGGUAAUAGAACGGAGACGGGCUGGCCCGGGAAGUGCUGCGGUUUCUGGUCUCCUGGAAUCCUCGCUCAAAGUGGAGGUGCCCCUGGCAUUACAAGGCCGUGGUGACAGCCCCUCUUGGCUUUGCCACCUGCAGGAAAGCUAUCUGUGUUGACGUCCUGUGACAUCAUGGCCCUGUCUGUAUUCCCUCCUCCUAUCCCCUGCCUCUGAGGAGGAAUCCC